UACACCUACGGGGCGCAGCAGUGAGGAAUAUUGGUCAAUGGUCGGGAGACUGAACCAGCCAAGCCGCGUGAGGGAUGAAGGUACAGAGUAUCGUAAACCUCUUUUGUCAGGGAACAAAGGCGGGGACGUGUCCCCGGAUGAGUGUACCUGAAGAAAAAGCAUCGGCUAACUCCGUGCCAGCAGCCGCGGUAAUACGGAGGAUGCGAGCGUUAUCCGGAUUUACUGGGUGUAAAGGGAGCGUAGACGGCUGUGCAAGUCUGGAGUGAAAGGCGGGGGCCCAACCCCCGG
rnacentral:rRNA from 1 species